UUAUUUUUUAAUAGCGCAGUGUAAAAGCUGGCUAUAAGAAAACUUAGCAUUAAGUAUAAUAAUUUAUAUUUACUAUUAUGACAAUAAAAUUCUGUUACCAUUUGAUAAUGUUAUUAUAAGUAGUAUUAAUAUAUGUGUUAAAGGAACUCGGCAAAGAACUACUCAACUGUUUAUCAAAAACAUAGCUGUGUGUAUUAAUACACAGUAAUUUCUGCUCCAUGCUUAGUAAAUAGCCGCAGUACUCUGACUGUGCAAAGGUAGCAUAAUCAGUUGGCUUUUAAUUAAAGUCUGGUAUGAAUGAAAAUAUGGGUAGUAACUGUCUUAGCAUACUUAUUUGAAAUUACUGAGCAAGUGCAAAUACCUGCAACUAAAAUAAUAGACGAGAAGACCCUAGAAACUUGAGCUAGUUUUUGUUGGGGCGACAAAAUUACAGUUAACUAAUUUUAUAAUACAUGACGCAAAGUAGAAAGAAUAAGUUACUCUAGGGAUAACAGCAUAAUUUUUAAGUUUGUGACCUCGAUGUUGGACUAGGUACUGCACCCUUAAGACAGGGGUGUAUUAUGCUCUGUUCGAGCAGAUUUACCUACAUGAUCUGAGUUCAGACCGG
rnacentral:rRNA from 1 species